GGAUCCAGACUUUGAUCGUGGCUCAGAACGAACGCUGGCGGCAGGCCUAACACAUGCAAGUCGAGCGAGGACUUCGGUUUCUAGCGGCGGACGGGUGAGUAACGCGUGGGAAUGUGCCCUUCUCUACGGAAUAGCCCUGGGAAACUGGGAGUAAUACCGUAUACGCCCUAUUGGGGAAAGAUUUAUCGGAGAAGGAUCAGCCCGCGUUGGAUUAGGUAGUUGGUGGGGUAAUGGCCUACCAAGCCGACGAUCCAUAGCUGGUUUGAGAGGAUGAUCAGCCACACUGGGACUGAGACACGGCCCAGACUCCUACGGGAGGCAGCAGUGGGGAAUCUUAGACAAUGGGGGCAACCCUGAUCUAGCCAUGCCGCGUGAGUGAUGAAGGCCUUAGGGUUGUAAAGCUCUUUCAGCUGGGAAGAUAAUGACGGUACCAGCAGAAGAAGCCCCGGCUAACUCCGUGCCAGCAGCCGCGGUAAU
rnacentral:rRNA from 1 species